UUUAAACUCAGGUGGUCUGAAAAGAGAUGAGUCACCGUGCUGGGCUGGGGUGUGGAGAAGCAGCCAGAGCUGUGGAAGAUUCUCCAAACCAGCUCCUCGAAUUUCCUAGUCUCCCUACAACCGGGACUGGUGGCUGCUCCUAAUCUCUCCCCGGGAGGAUAUCACAUAGCACUUAACCUGAUGUAGUAAAGAGUUCAGAUUCAUAAAUCUCAAAAACUUUAAUUUUAGGUCCCGCCCCCAGGGGGUUUAAGGAAAUCAUAACAGUUUGUCUUUGCCACAUUGUUCACCUCUCCUUGGAUCACAGAGAUGCUGACCUUCGUAUUGGAUAAACACGGUUGAUGCAGGUGGUCACUAUAGAGAGAUGACGACGACGACGAUGACUACUGUUUUAUCUUAUGUGAAUAAGUGUUUUGCCUGAAUGUAGGCCUGUGUUUUGGAAGGCACUGGAUUGCCUAGAAUUAGAGUUAUAGACUCUUGUGAGCUACCAUGUGGAUGCUGAGAAUCAAACCUGGUACUCACAAGGGCAGCCAGUGCUCUUAACCAAUGAGUCAUCUCUCCAGUCCCUAGAAGAUUAAUUUUAAUCAGUCAUUCCUUCUCAACUACAGAAAGAAUGAGACGACCAUUUUGUGGAAAAAGCAGAAUGAGGCAGAGUUGCAAAUUGCAGUGUGCCAGGAGAAUACAAUCAAAAUUUCCUGCUAACUGUCUCUCACCUUCUAGUCAGGACUUUUCCUUCAGAGUCUCAGACAGAGGCAACGUCAGCAACAGGACUGCAGCCUCCUUAUCUGUUGACUGGAUUGAAAGGCUUUUUUGAACAUUGCUCCCUUUGAAAGGAAUGGCUCUCUGGAGAAGGUUGGACAAUGGCUCCCAAGGAAGCCAGACACUAAUCUCUAGGACUGGCAUUGUUACUGAGAACAGAAGAAUUUUUUUAUAGAUAUGAUUAAGUAGAUAUUCUUGAUGUGGAGAGAUUGUUCUAGGUUAUCUGGUAGACCUUCAGUUGAUUGUGUGUCUUCCUGAGGAGGCCAAAGGAGAUUGCCAUGACAUAAGAGAAGGUGACAUGGAUGUUAAGGCAGAGACUGGAUUACGCAGGCAGGUCAGGAGGAGCACCGUGCUGAGAAUCUCCUUGCGCUGGUGAUGUCAACUGGUGGUGUCUUUCAGGAAGCUCCAACUCCAUACUGCAGCCUCCCCCAGCCUUGAAGCAGGCUGAUUCAGACUUUGCUACUACUGACUAUGAGAUCACCUGGGGUGUAG